rnacentral:rRNA from 1 species
UGGCGGCAGUAGCGCGGUGGUCCCACCUGACCCCAUGCCGAACUCAGAAGUGAAACGCCGUAG